GUGGGUCCCAAGUCUGACAUCGCAGUCCGGGCGCGCUCUGAGUCUAGUCUUUUGGAUUGGAGUAGGAAGUUGGGGGGCUUUUAAUUUAUGCUCAGGACUAUCAUUUGUUCUGGGUUUCAGGAGGGAGGAGAAGCCACUAGAAGCUUCAGGAAAAGUCCCACGGAGUCCCCAGGGCAAUCGCAGUUUCCCUCCCAAGGAUGGGCUAGGUGGAGGCCUGGCCCACCCCUCUGCACCUUGAGACUUUCACAUGAAAGGUGCUGAUUCCAUUCUACAUCGACAGCAAAUAAUCUUAUUUUGAAAAAGGAAAGAGAUAAGUGCACUGGCCGGGUGUGGAGGCAGCCUUAUAGCCAGACAAUCUACCAGCAAACGGCCCUUCCUCGGAAAGGAAACACAACAGAUACUGCACAAAAUCACUUGAUUCUGGAAAAAAAAUCAAUAUCAAAAUUAGGUUUAUUGUCUGCUUAUAUGAUUAAAAAUGACAAAGUGUUGCCUUUUAUUUUUAUAAAAAGACGGAAGGCUGAACAAAAUAAUUUACCAUCGAGUUCUGCUCGUUUCAUUUGCCUGGCAAAACCUGGAGAAGGCCGAAAGGGCGUCUGGGAAACGCAGCGGCGGAGCCAGAGGCCCCUGGCGUAGGGGUGAACUCGCCGUCGGAGGAGAUGUGUGCUACUGUGUGUGCGAGGAGAAUACAUUUCCUAAUCUCCAGUUUUCGGCAAUGCUGGUCCAGCUGGGUAGUUCUCAGUUCUGCCUCGUUCCAAAGAAAUGCUGGGCCAUCUGUCCCUUGCCUCUAACGUCUUUAACUCAAACCCAGGUCCCAGGUCUUUUUCCCCAAAAUAACUCUCAAGAUGACGCUGCUUUAGUGGUUGUACGAACCCGGCAGCGCCAGAGGUCUGCUUGGUCUGGAUUGGGCUCGCUUCCCCGGAAGGCUUGCGGGGUUCCAGAGUCUGGGCUGCAAUCAGGAAAAUGGGGUUUCCGAAACCUCUGUGGGCUGGAUUCUCCAAGUGUGGCGGGCGGUGCGCGCAUUCGAGGAAUACGAC
rnacentral:lncRNA from 1 species